rnacentral:rRNA from 1 species
GAACGAACGCUGGCGGCGUGGAUAAGACAUGCAAGUCGAACGGGAUUUUUUCCUGUAGCAAUACAGGAAAAAGUCUAGUGGCGAACGGGUGCGUAACACGUGAGCAACCUGCCAUGAAGUGGGGGAUAGCUCGCCGAAAGGCGAAUUAAUACCGCAUGUGGCCAAGGAAGACAUCUUCCUGACGCCAAAGCCGGGGUAACCUGGCGCUUCUCGAGGGGCUCGCGGCCUAUCAGCUUGUUGGUGAGGUAACGGCUCACCAAGGCUAUGACGGGUAGCUGGUCUGAGAGGACGACCAGCCACACUGGAACUGAGACACGGUCCAGACACCUACGGGUGGCAGCAGUCGAGAAUUUUUCACAAUGGGGGAAACCCUGAUGGAGCGACGCCGCGUGGAGGAUGAAGGUUUUCGGAUUGUAAACUCCUGUCAUUAGAGAACAAGGCACAUGGUUUAACUGGCCGUGUGUUGAUAGUAUCUGAAGAGGAAGGGACGGCUAACUCUGUGCCAGCAGCCGCGGUAAUACAGAGGUCUCAAGCGUUGUUCGGAUUCAUUGGGCGUAAAGGGUGCGUAGGUGGCGAGGUAAGUCGGAUGUGAAAUCUCCAAGCUCAACUUGGAAACUGCAUUCGAUACUGCUUUGCUAGAGGAUUGUAGAGGGCAUUGGAAUUCACGGUGUAGCAGUGAAAUGCGUAGAUAUCGUGAGGAGACCAGGUGCGAAGGCGAUGCUUGGCAUUCUGACACUGAGCACGAGUCAGGGAGCAACGGGAAUAGAAUUCCCCGUAGUCUGCAGUAACGUGCACGUUUGGUGUGGGAGAUUCGACCCCUUCGUGCCGAGCUAACGCGUUAAACGUGCCGCCUGGGGAGUACGGUCGCAAGAUUAAAACUCAAAGAAAUUGACGGGGACCCGCACAAGCGGUGGAGUAUGUGGCUUAAUUCGAUGCAACGCGAAGAACCUUACCUGGCCUUGACAUGCAUCUCUAAUCCGGUGAAAGCCGGUGAGUGUAGCAAUACACAAUUUGCACAGGUGCUGCAUGGCUGUCGUCAGCUCGUGUCGUGAGAUGUUGGGUUAAGUCCCGCAACGAGCGCAACCCCUGUGAACUGUUGCCAUGGAGACGUGAGUCUCCGGCACUCUGUUCAGACUGCCCUGUUCAACGGGGAGGAAGGUGGGGACGACGUCAAGUCAGUAUGGCCCUUACGGCCAGGGCUGCACACGUACUACAAUGCCCGACACAGAAGGAUCCGAGACCGCAAGGUGGAGGAAAUCACCAAAGUCGGGCCCAGUUCGGAUUGGAGGCUGCAACUCGCCUCCAUGAAGCCGGAAUCGCUAGUAAUGGCGCAUCAGCUACGGCGCCGUGAAUACGUUCCCGGGUCUUGUACACACCGCCCGUCACAUCAUGGGAGUCGUUUGUACCCGAAGUGCGCGCGCCAACCGCAAGGAGGCAGCGCCCUAAGGUAUGAGCGGUAACUGGGAU